UACGGAGGAUGCGAGCGUUAUCCGGAUUUAUUGGGCGUAAAGCGUGCGUAGGCGGUUUAUUAAGUCUGAGAUUAAAGCCCGUGGCUUAACCACGGUUCGUUUCAGAUACUGGUAGACUAGAGUGCGGUAGAGGCUAAUGGAAUUCCUAGUGUAGCGGUGAAAUGCGUAGAUAUUAGGAGGAACAUCAGUGGCGAAGGCGAUUAGCUGGGCCGUAACUGACGCUGAGGCACGAAAGCGUGGGGAGCAAAUA
rnacentral:rRNA from 1 species